rnacentral:rRNA from 1 species
GCAUAUCAAUAAGCGGAGGAAAAGAAACCAACAGGGAUUGCCUCAGUAACGGCGAGUGAAGCGG